AGAGUUUGAUCAUGGCUCAGGACGAAACGCUGGCGGCGUGCCUAAUACAUGCAAGUCGAGCGGACCGAACGAGAGCUUGCUCUUGUUCGGUCAGCGGCGGACGGGUGAGUAACACGUGGGCCACCUGCCCGCAAGACCGGGAUAACUCCGGGAAACCGGAGCUAAUACCGGAUAACACCAAAGACCGCAUGGUCUUUGGUUGAAAGGCGGCUUCGGCUGCCACUUGCGGAUGGGCCCGCGGCGCAUUAGCUAGUUGGUGAGGUAACGGCUCACCAAGGCGACGAUGCGUAGCCGGCCUGAGAGGGUGACCGGCCACACUGGGACUGAGACACGGCCCAGACUCCUACGGGAGGCAGCAGUAGGGAAUCUUCCGCAAUGGACGAAAGUCUGACGGAGCGACGCCGCGUGAGCGAAGAAGGCCUUCGGGUCGUAAAGCUCUGUUGUGAGGGACGAAGGAGCGCCGUU
rnacentral:rRNA from 1 species